rnacentral:rRNA from 1 species
CGACGACGAUGCGUAGGGGUUCUGAGAGGAAGGUCCCCCCACACUGGUACUGAGACACGGACCAGACUCCUACGGGAGGCAGCAG